rnacentral:lncRNA from 1 species
UAUCAAUGAACAAUCAGUGAAGAAAUUCUCAUCUAAAAUUAUAUAAAUCAAUUGGGGUUUGAAAUCGAAGACAUACCUAGGGCUUUGAUCAGCCCCUAACUACUAAGGAGUUUAGUUACACAUAAUCUUGAUUAAGAACAUCAGAGAAUACAUGGAAGAUGAAAUAAGGGUGAGAAGAAGAAAACUUGAUUGAAGAAGAUCUUUGCCGAUCGAGUUCUUUUUCCUCUCCUUUCUUUCUUCUCUUUCUCUCUCUUUCUUUUCUUCUCCCCUGGUUCGGCCUCUCUCUUUUUCUUCCCUUCCUUUCUUUUCUUUUUCUCUCUAGUUCUUCUCCCCUGGUUCGGCCUCUCUCUUUUUCUUCCCUCCUUUUCACGUAGAAAUAGGUUAGUUAACCUAUAUGUCUUCCAUCACCAACCCAACUAGGAUUAGGGAUCCUAAUUAAGCCCAAUUAUCUCCUUUUCUUUGUUUGACUUCAAAACACCUAAAAACAAAUAAAUUUAAUUAAAAAUAGGAAAACAUCACAAAAUAACUAAGUAAUAAGAAUAAUUAGCAUGAUAAAAGUCGCACAAAUAUGCGACUAUCAAAAAGCAAACCCUAAUUAAAAACCCUAGAAUUUUUCGAUUACAGGAUGUCAGGUUACUUUGUUCCUGAAGAAAUCAUUCAUGAAAUUCUGCUGCGGUUGCCAGCCAAAUCUUUAGUGAGAUUCAGCACCGUGUGCAAGUCAUGGAGCUCUAUGAUCACACGCUCCAGUUUCAUUGACACCCAUCUCAAGCGCAGAGGUCAAUACAACAAGCAAAACGGCAUCGUUCACCUUCUACUAUGCGAGCACUUCACUGCGAGAAGUUGCACGUCGUAUGUGAUGAAAGACGACCCUGCAAUAUUGACCGGAGAUGAGUGCUAUACCAAGUUUACAUAUCCUUCAAUAUUCAAACAUUCAUAUGCGAGUCUGAUCGGAACUUGUAACGGUCUCAUAUGUCUUACAGAUCACCAUUCGCCCAGGACGACUUCCAAAGUUUCCACAAUAAUUUGGAACCCUUCAAUCAGAAAGAUUGUGAUUUUGCCUAGGCCUAGUAUCAAGUCUCCAACAAUUUGUAUGCAAACUCAUCAUGCUUUUGGUUUUGGCUAUGAUGCUCAGAGCAACGAUUAUAAGGUUUUAAGAAUUCUAAAGUCUGAGGAUGAAAGAUUGGUGACAAAACUACGUGAGGUUGAGGUUUACUCAUUAGCCCGUAAUACUUGGAAGCGUCUCAGUUGUGAUACUUUUCCGGCUUGCUUGAAAUCUGUUAGAUGGUGUACAGGUAAAUACGUUUUUGUCAACAAUGCUCUACAUUGGGCUCAAUACCGGGAUUCCGAGAUGGAAAAGUACAUCAUUGUGUCGUUUGAUAUGGCCGGAGAAUUAUUUAGUGAGAUAGAGAUGCCGGAAGCUUUGUCGAAUGAACCCAAGAACCUGAUUUUAGUAGCAAGAUAUGGAGAGUCCCUUGCCUUGAUUGAUGUUAAGAGCGGUUUUGACAUAUGGGUCAUGAAAGAGUAUGGUGUGGUGCAAUCUUGGACUAAAAUAGCAAGGAUAUCGUGUGAAAAGUUUCGUUCUCUUUCACUUUUUGAUUGUAAAAGCUGCGGCGAAUUGGUGUUCGGAAUAAUAGAAGAAACAACAACUGGUCGUGGAGGGUUACGCAGGGUGAAUUAUCAGACCAACCAAGUUGAAAAAUUUAGAAUAGAUGUAGAAAAGUACAAGGGGAUCGAUUCGUUUGUAGAUAGCAUAGUCUUACUAGAUCAAAUCAAUGCUAUAUAUUCCUUGCAAUCGUAAAUCUUGUUUCAAGCCAAAUGGUAUAUGAUUAAUUACUUAUUAUUCACGGGUUAAGGAGUGUCCUUAUUCUUGUAGCAAACCAAAAUCCCAAAUAUGUGUGGGUGAAAAUAUUUUCAACACGGAUUUUUAGGUAUUUCUUCAUAACGAAUUAGCUAUAUUGAAGGUGUAUUUGUUUCGCGGUGAAUCAUCUCGUGGUUAGAAUGUAGUCCUGGCCCAAAUCAGACCACAACAAAUUGAGUUAUCGUGUAGUGUGGGGGCAAAUAUUUUCGGUAUGAGGUUUUGAAUAUAAGUUAGUAAGACAAAUUGUACACGAAUAAAUUGGUCACAAUUGUGGGCCGUGAGCAUAAUGAGAUGGGUAGCGGUUGAAUUAAGUUACGGAAGAAUUGGGUUGAGGGAAGAGGUCAAAUAAGACUAAUAAUCAAAUUACAGUCAAGAGUACCAGAAAGCAUCAAGGGAGAACGUGAUGAAGAGGAAGGCUGAUUAAAAUGUGACCAUGAGGAAAUAAAUCACAUUGUGGAUAAGUCACAACGUGGUCGAAUCACGUUAUGGUCAAAUUGGGUUGCGGUCAAAUCUGGUAUGGCCUCAAAAAGGUUUGGGUCUCAACCCGACCACGAAUGGAUUGGGCCGUGAGUGAAUUGUGUGGCGGCCAAAUUAGGUUGUAAGUAAAUGGGAAACUUCCAUGGGCCAUGAGCAGAACGAAAUAGGUAACGGUUGAAUCAGGUUACGGGUGAAUUGGCUCGCAAUACGCGCUGACCAACUCAAGAUGGGAGAGAUCAAACAAGACUUAAAGUAAAGCCCUAAGGCAGAACGUGGCAGCGAAGGAGGUUAUGGAGUAGUGUUGAAUGGACGUGACUUAGUGGAAGUUGGUCACGUCAAAGGUAUAUCAUGUAGUGGUGGAUCACGUAGUGGUCAAGUCAGGUUUGGGCCGGAUAGGGUGUCGGUCAAAUCAAGUCGCGUGAGAUGGAGACACUAAGGGAACGAGUCGAGGACGAAGUGAAAUAGAGUUGUUCAAUAGGAAAAAUUGGGGAACGGAGUUUCCCAUGAUGUUAAUAUGGAGUCGUGGAUCCACUCGUGCUUAACUACCGAGUAAAGCGCACAACAUAACGUGACCUAGGAGUCACGACUAUAAAUACAACAUGAAUAGGAUCCUGAAGGGAGGAGUCCUAGCAAAAUCAGUCACACAAACCUAUAAUAUACCCCUUUUGAGAUUCUAGAUCGGGAGAUAUACCGUCACCAUUAAAUUUCCGACCCAUUUUUACAUCCAUUAUCGAAAAAGCUUUCAUUCCUGCUUCAGACAAAAGUGGUUAGUGAGGAAAUCUUUUACCCGAAUUUUUCCACACCAACAAUAUGUAAUACUUGACCCGCAAGAAAUUUCCCUUGGUAUAAAAGCAAACUCUUUUUUGAAGAGUAUAAAAGCAAACUCUAAGCUCGUCAAGAAAAACCAAACCCUAGAGUUCGAUUACAGGCGAUGUCAGGCUACCUUGUUCCUGAAGAAAUCAUUCAUGAAAUCCUGCUGUGGUUGCCGGCCAAAUCUUUACUGCGAUUCAGCACAGUGUGCAAGUCAUGGAGCUCUAUGAUCAACCACCCCAGUUUCAUCGACACCCACCUGAAGCGCAGAAACCAACACAACCUCCAAAACGACAUUCUUCACCUUCUAACAAGCAAGCGGAAGGAUCGGAUGAGUUACUCGUCGUGUCUGAUCAAAGAUGGUGAGUAUAUGUAUACCAACCUUAUGCUUCCAUCACUAUUAGUGAAAGGUAUGGGUUUACUUAGUCUGAUCGGAACUUGCAAUGGCCUCCUAUGCUUUGCAUAUAAUAGGGAACCUAAUUCUCCCGGAGCACCUCCAACAAUAAUAUUCAACCCUUUAAUCAGAAAGAUUGUGAUUUUGCCUAAGCCUAGUAUUAUUUGCGACCCUUUUACCCAGUAUGAACAACCACACUCAUUUGGCUAUGAUGCCCGGACCAAUGACUAUAAGGUUUUGAGACUUGUUCUUAAAUUCCAAACUCCAUACGCCGUGGAGGUUUACUCAUUAGCUACGAAUUCUUGGAAGCGUCUUAGUAGUGCUGCAAUUCCGGCUUACGUUUGGUCAAAAUAUGGAUUCCUUUCCGUCAAUAAUGCUCUCUAUUGGAUCCAAUACCGUAACGUAAAACGAGAAGAAUACGUCAUCGUGUCAUUUGAUUUGGCCACUGAAAUGUUCAGCCAGAUAAUGAUGCCUGAAGAUUUGGGGAGAAAAUCUAAUCGAUACUUAGACUUGUCAAGAUAUGGGGAGUCUCUGUCUUUGAUUGUUGCUGCAGAAAAUAUUGAGAUAUGGGUGAUGAAAGAGGUUGGAGUGAUGGAAUCUUGGAAGCAAGUAUUAACCAUCAACUGUUCUAAGAAUCCGUUGCUUAAAAUUCCUAAUAGCAGCGGUGAAGUACUAUUCAAAACAAGAGAAAGCCCUCGAAAGAUGCAGAGGCUGAAUUAUAAGACCGAACAAGCAGAAGAUUUUGGAAAAGAUAAGAAUUACAACCCCAGGGAUUCUUUUGCAGAUUGCCUAGUUUUACUUGGCCAAACCAAUGCCGUUCCUUACUAAGAAGCACUCAAGAAGUUGAUUAUUUGCAUUUUAGCAUUAGCGUAUUAUUUCAUUCAUCAAGUUGUAGGGUGAUUUCAUGAUUUGAAAGUAUUUGCAGGUCAAAAGAACAACUUUUUUUUUUUUUUUUUCUACUUUAAUCUUUGAUAUAUAUGUUCAUCAUGAAACAACCAAUCAUUCCUGAUUUCUCAUAUGCGUUAACUGUAUCAAGAAUCAGUACUAAAUUCUGAACACAAUAUAUCUAAUUACGUACAUUAACUAACCUGUAGAUUGUAAGUCAUCCACGCGCACAGCCAAGGGAGAAUAGUGAAGAUGAGUACGCAAACAGAUUGUCGAGACUGUAACAAUUGGAAAUCUUGAUAAGCAAAAAGUAGCAUCUCUGUGUCAUAUAUUGCCCAAUGUUCAGAUUGGAACACCAAAGCACUAGGAUAAUCUGUAGAACACACUACCAGAUGGUAAAACCAGGGAUAAUCAACUCAUCAUCAAUGUUUAAGAUCACCAGGAAUCAAUGUCGAAAGUUCAUACAGAUAGUGUAAUCUACCAGUUGCAGUUGCUUUUUUCUGUAUAUUCUCUGAAAAAUGCAGGAGGUACUACUUGUCGAUUUCCCCCCCUAUUCCAAAAUUGACUACAUGUUCCGAUUUGACUUCCUAUAUGUUCAUUCUAAUGACUUUCUUAAUUUUCUUCCCAAAUGCCCAUUCUAAUGACUUCCUUAAGAAGAUCCCAGUACACAAUUAAACAAAUAUAGGUCCUUCCUUAACCGCAAAGCUUCUUUCUCAACUUCUAGACACUCCAUGAGAUGUAGACAAUAUGCACAGAAGGGGCAGUAAAUGUCACCGCUCACAUAAGAGAUGAAUUCGGAACCCAUGCAGCUUUCAUGAUACACCAAAGGGCAAUCACUGGUACUACAAAUCAACAACUGACCACCUCCAUUACACAUUAGACAAUGAUCCUUCUCUGUCGAAUUGCAAUAACGAGUCAAUGUACAUUUAGAGCUCAAGAACUUAUGCUUCUCCAUGGAAAUGUAAUCCAACUGUGACUUGUCUUUGGCUCCAUUAGCAAUGUUCUUCUUCUGGGAUACUUCUGCUGAUGCUCGAGCUGUUAUAUCAAUACGAGAAUCAUGCUCACGGUUGCAAACAGAUUCUUUGGCAAAUACUUUAUGCCGGGCUUUGUCUGGAGGAGCAACACGCAAUGUUGUUGGUUCAGGAAGAUGCUCACUCUUAUCUCCGCCUUCAUCAACAAUACUCUUCUGUUUGGAUCCACCAACAGAUACAGGAUGUCGUACUUCAAUAUGAAACUCGUGCUCAAUGUUACAACUGGAAUCUUUAGCAGAAACCUUAUGCUGUGCUCCAUGUGAAGGACCAACACCUGAUGUUGUCGGUUCAGGACUAAACCCAUUACUACCAUCUUUGGAUUUAUCUGCACAAGGAUUUUCUACCAACCUUUCCUCUGUUACCUCCUUCUGAAAUUCCGACACACGCCCUUCUCCCUCUGGAACUGGAAUAUCCCUUUCCAGUGAGUGUUCCAACGUUUGCCUUCCCGCUAAAGGAACUGGGUUGUCCUCUGCAGACUGCAAAGCACAAGAGGCAUCCCUCUUCGUCUUCUUGGAAAUCACACCCAAACCAUCAUCCUCAUGGUUUUCAUCUACCACUUUCUCAGUAUCUAACUCAAUCCUACUCCUCUUGGAAGGCAAUCCAUUCUCAUCAUUCCGCUCUUCUCUAACGCCAAUGUUUGGAGCAUUAGAGCAUCCACCAUUAAACCUCAAAAUACCAUCACUCCCCGCCACCGCAACAGAUCCUAGUCCACUCUUUCUUCCUAACAAUUCAGCAUAUGGAUGCCUACCAUCACCAAUCGACUCUUUAAGCUUGUCCAAAGUACUAUUCGGCAUGCGAUCUCUUUUGUGCUUAGUAAAGGACUCAAUAUCCCAUUUCCACCUCCCUCCUCCUUCCUUCCUCACAUCACCUUCUGCUGACUAACAAAAGCAAAACAUUCACAUUUCACUCCCAAAUCUCAAAAAUCUACCCUAAAAUUACAUUUCAACUAAAACUAAAACAAAAUUUUGCUUUUGGAAUUUGAAUUCCUUACCUCAUUCAAAACGCGUUUAAGAACCUCCUCGCAGCUCUCCGAUAAAUCGAAGCUGUGUUCGGACCGCCUGACCGGAGGAGCAUCGUGAGCGGUGGAUAGUUCCUCCAAGCAUCGGAGAGCGACUCUUUCGGUGAUGCUCCGUCGCAAAUCGGCGGGUAAGUUUGGCGGGAUUUGGGCGGUCAAAUCGUGUAGAAUCGAUACGGCGACGUGUUUUGAGCUUGCGAGGGCUUCGAGGGCCCAGCCCCAGGCAGUGGCGGACUCAAUUGAGGUCAUCUUCCCCAUGGGGAACCCUAGAACGGUUGCAGAGAAGAGGAGAGAGAAAUCGUCGGAGAGAUAAUUCGGUUAGCUUUAGCCAGAGAGCUCCUAACUAACUGAAAGAUGGCGAUCCUAUUUGGUCUGACCCGGCCCAUUUUAAUCGUCGGACACUCUUUUGGUUUGCUUUUUCAUAAUAAUACGGGUGACAUUUCGAAGCAAUCUUAAUCAUCGACACGUUCUUUCAUGCUGUGUACCGAAAACUAGUACUUGAAUGAUACAUUUACUUGGUUGAAAAAGAAAUUCAUCAAGAAUAAGAGACGGAAUAGAAUAAUAUACAGAUAUUUUAAUUUUAUUGAGUUAUUUACUUACUACAUGAAAUUAGAAUAUGAAUAAAACUAAUUACGAUUGAUGUUGUUUAAUUACAAUAAAGAAUUAGAAUUAAACUGGUAUGAUUACUAAACUAACCUCUAAAAAAGUAUAGGGAUUUGGGGUUAAUGUAAUUAUAUGAGUAUAUUUUUGGUAGAAAAAAUUCAUUCCUGCUAGUAUCAUUCCCAAACCUACCUCUCCCCUUGGUAUUACAAAUCUGGGUUAUUAAGUAAUCAAUUCCGAGUUUGGAGGUGGGAGCCAUAACAAUUCUCAUUUCGCCAUGAGCAAAUAAACACAUGAAUUCCCUUAUCCCAUAAUCAUUCUCACACAUCUCAAUUCCAUUCCAGGUAAGUAAACAUGCUAGAAAUGAUCAUCCUAAUGAAAAUGGUAAAUCAUAUUUUGUUUUUAACAAAUCACAUAUACAUCCUCCAAAAAGAUUUGAAACACAAAUAAAUCCACUUGUGUUGUUAAACAAAUAAGGACAGUUUUUAACAAUUAAGGACAAUCUUUUCUCUGCAUGCCAUGUGUCAUGGUUUAAUUUACCAAACUAACCCUACAUUAAUUAAAUAUGCUUUUAGAAGUGAAAAGUCUCUCAUUUUGAGAUUUUUCAGUAAAUAGAAUACAGUAGCAAAUUUUCAAUAAUUUAGUGUAGUAGUAGUUAAUUCCAGUAGAAGUAGUAGCAAGGGUUAACAUCUCAGUAGAAGUAGUAGCAGAGGUUAACAUCCCAGUAGUAGUAGCAGUUAAUUCUAGUAGUAGUAGUAGCAUGGGUUAACAUUUCAGUAGAAAGUAGUAGUAGCAGAGGUUAACAUCCCAGUAGAAGUAGUAGCAUGUUUUCAGUGGCUCUCAGAUAAUGUAGCAGCAGCAUGUUUUGCUGGAAAGCUAUACUUCCAACAUAUGUAGUAGCAGGGUUUUAGUGGUUCAGCUAGUGUAGUAGCAGUUUCAGUAAGUGCAAUAACGGGUUUUUAGUAGAGGAGGAGUUUAGUAGCAGCUAAUAUAGUAGCAAGUUAAACUGGAGAGUUAGCUGCUACUACACUUCCAACAAAUGUAGUAGCAGGGUUUAAUGGUUCAGCUAGUGUAGUAGCAGCUUCAGUAAGUGCAGUAGCGGGUUUUUAGUUGCUUAGCAAAUGUAGCAGCAGCUAUUUUCAGUACGUGAUGUAGUAGCAGAUUUUUAUUGGUUUAGCUAGUGUAGUAGUAGCUUUAGUAACUACAGUAGCAGAUUUUUAAUGGCUUAACUAAUGUAGUAGCAUGUUAAACUGAAGAUUUAGUUGCUAGUACACUUCCAACAAAUAUAGUAGCAGAGUUUUAAUGGUUCAACUAGUAUAGUAACAACUUCAGUAAAUGCAGUAGCAGGUUUUAGAGUAGUUGAUUGUUGAUGAGGUGUGAACUAGUGUAGUGGCAGCUUCAGUAAAUUUUCGAUAUGGGGGCAAAAAAAAAAAUCAUACCAUACCCACCCAUGUCUUCUUUUAGAGCAAAGGUUUGGUGGUGCGUUGUUAACCGGAGCACUUAGUACAAUUUAUUAAUAUAACUAGCACUUAGUACAAUUUAUUAAUAUAAGAUCGUGGGUAAAGAGACGAUGAGAGCACGUGAGGGAUGAUGAAAAGUCAAAUCAAAGAAUAGAUGAGAGGUAUUGUGAUGAUAUGAUUACGGGGGCAAAAAGCUUCAAAUAGCAUUAAUACAUGAAACCCAGACAACUUCAGUUCUGCAAAACUAAAAACCCACUGCCCGAAUCCGUUGAGAGAGAGGUUAGAUCUUUGCGAAUGAAGGGGUCGAUGUUCUCGCUGUUGAAGAUGGCGGAGGAGAGGAGGAGUUUCGAGUUUCUUGGCAAGUCGCCGUUAUCGGCGGCCGCCGCUAGGGUUAGAGAGACCGUCGAGAUCUUUGACGGCGUGAUGGCAGCGGUAAUGGAGAGAGAGAGAGAGAGAGAGAGAGAGAGAGAGAGAGAGAGAGAGAGAGAGAGAGAGAGAGAGAGAGAGAGAGAGAGAGAGAGAGAGANNNNNNNNNNNNNNNNNNNNNNNNNNNNNNNNNNNNNNNNNNNNNNNNNNNNNNNNNNNNNNNNNNNNNNNNNNNNNNNNNNNNNNNNNAGAGAGAGAGAGAGAUUUGGAAUAUGGCAGAUCGGAGGAAGAGAGAAGAUAUUUUUGGUUAAGGCAGUGGCUGUUUUGUAGAUAUUUCAAAAAAGAUUGAUUUUUUAGGUAUUUUACGUAAAAAAUUGCUGACAGGACGUGGGCUUGGGUUUAUGUCCUUAUUUGUUUAAAUAUGUUGAAAUGUGGUUUUUCUGUUUUAUGUAAUUGUUUAGGGCAGUGGGAUGUCAUUUUCUAUUUUGUUUUUAGUCAAUUCAAUUUCAUAUAAAAGUAAAUAGCUGAUUUCAUAGCUGACAUGGUAUAUUAUAAACGGUAUAUUUUCAAAUUGCUCAACAUCACUAAAAAGAAAUUCAAGAACAAGAGAAUUCCAGAACUGAGCUCAAACUCGUGUGGUUGUUUUUUCAAAAUAUCAACCUCGAAAUCUCACAUUCUUCCUUCAGAUUCAAGAAAAGUAAAAAAAGAAAACAGGGGUAUGUAGGCACAAACCCAAAAUGUAUAAAAUCUACAGCAGAACGAGCCUUAGCAGUCAAACACAAGGCUAAGAAGUUCUGUACCAGUUGAUGACACACAAACAAAUCCAAAACUAGUAACACUAUAAGAGAAAAUCUGGAAUAACUGGUGUUUGUGAAACCACAUUCAACGGCGCAUCUGCUCGUUGCCGAGCUUUGUGCCUACCACUACUUUUUGGCUUUGCUUUCUGACCGUUUUCUUCUCUUUCGUCUCCUUUCUUCCCCGGGCUUCUGUGCCUUCUCCCUUUACUAUGAGUACGGUGCUUGCUUUUUCUUGAACUCGAGUUUCCUUGAUCUUGCUUUUCUACAUCACCCAAAUUUUCCUUGGAUUCAGUGGCAGACUCAACGUUUAGUUUCUCCUUCCCUUUUAUCCUAGUAGAUGACCUGGUAGUGGGUUCUGUCUCACUUCCUAGAAGAAUAUCCCGCACUGUACCAGACAGCGAAUCUUCCUGUGGACGUGGGCCAAUUGCAAUACGUACUUGAUCUCCAUCUAGUUUCACCACAACAGGCCUAGGCUUUGCAUGGUUUGGUUUUUUCUUUGGAACAACCAACUGCUCGGUAAGCUUGGCAAGAUCUUCAUCAUCAUUAGAUUUAGCCUGUAUCUGAGGGUCAUUGGCAGGUGGAUAAUCACCAUCCUUUUUCUCUGAAGGAAGAUAAUAUAAGCCAUGCUGCUUACGGUGUUCUGCAAGCAGAGAUGUGGAUUCAUUUGAUGGCCCUGGCUCUUCUUUGCUCUGAAAGGUAGGGAUAGAAACACCAGCCAUCUCCUCAAAAUGAGAACUUCCACCGGAAAAUGAAUUUAAUGAAGGUAGUUGGACAUCACCACAGAUUGUUUCCAAGUCCUCAAGAUUCUCCACGAGCACUAAACCAUCUGGUACAGAAACUCUUUCCUGAGCACAUACUGAGACAGGACCAAGAUCAUUUGAAAAGGCAUCGUGCAUCAAUUUAACGAUUUUGGAUGCUUUCGCUUCUUCCCUAUCUGAACUUUCCUCUUUCUGAACUAGACAGUCAGGCAUUUGUGGCUUGAACAACUCAAUGAAACAAAGUACAUUUCGUGCUCUCUCUACUAUUUCUACAUCAUAGCAUCCUGUAAGUGGAGCCACAGCCAAUUCAACUCUAUUCAAAAGGUUCGUGAUAGAUUCGUGUGUGAAACUGUCCUUCAAUGAAGCAGAUGCAGAUGCCUGCCCAUAAGUAGAAGUUUCCUCCCCACGAAAUUCUGCAGAAAGACCUCCAAUUGAUUGAUUUAAAUCCCUUGGGUUGAAUCCUUCAUCCAGUUUGGCAUGCAUAGGAGCAUCAGAUGAUGCCAAGUCAGAACACCCUGCGCUAUCCUGUUCAGAGAGCAAUCCUGGGACAUCUGGCACGAAUUUAUCAGGAUACGAGGAGGAACCAGCAUUCCCCCUCUGCAAAAGGUAAGAGUUCAGACAAAAGAUUAAGACCUUGAAUGUAGACUGUAUAUAUAUUGCUUUUAUCCACGGUGGUAAGAGACUUGUACGAGGCUGUAAUAGUGCCUCCACGAGUUCAAAUGGGUUUACCGAGAACUCAACAUAGUCCCCCGAUAACCAAGCAGCCGCCGAUAAUAUCCUGUGUAAGAAAGGAUUACCAAGUAAUGCCGGAUCAAUCAGCAAAUCACGACUAACUCGCACAAGCUCUGGUCUAACAUCCUUGACCCUCAAACCAAUAUCUACAAGCUGCUUUUCAAUUUCUUCUCCUUUCCGGCAAUGUGGUAUUCUUGACAUUUCUCCCAGAAGCGAUACAUACCAAUCGAAGUCCAUAAUGAUCUCGUAUACAUUUCUACAACAUGUCGACAAAAUGGAACCCAGUAUCAAAUUGCAGAACUCCGGGUCAGAUUUAAGUGCAUAGUUGACCAAAACCCUGCAAAUUUCAGCCACAUUGUUCUCAGACACCAUCGCCAUAACAAGACGCAGCGACUCCAGCUUAAUAUUUGGAUCAACAUCACUCAAGGACUUAAUCACAACCUCCUUAUUCUCCAACACCGCCCACAAGUGCUUCGGAGCCACAACGGCAAGCGCCUGCAAUCCAAGAUACUUCAAAUUCGGAUCAUCAUCCACCAACAUUUCCCGAAUCUUCACAACAGCAAGCCUCACCGCAUUCUCAUACUCACUCAAACUGCUCACCACAGUCCUAAUGCACUCAAACAACAACGACUUGGCCCCAGUCUUCCUGAUAUGCUCGCAAAUCGGCUCCACCACUCUCUUAGCCAACCUCGGCUCCAACGGAGCCAGCUUCGCAAAUAUCUUCAACACCUUGAUCAAAACCCAAUUGUUCUUGGAAUCAACCAGAAUCUUAUGAAACUCCGGCGCAAGCGGAAGAUAGGACCUCGGAUCCCUCACAGCCAGCUCACAGAACACUCCCACAGUCACAGACACAAUCUGCGAAUCGGAACUCUCUAGAUUCUCAACUAAACGCUUAAAACAUACCCUAACCGAAUCCGGAUACUUAUCAAACACUCUCAGGAUCACACCGAUUGCUUUCUUUCUGACCAUUACUUUAGUGCUGGCCAGCAAUGUGAAGAUUUCUGGAGUCAAAUCCCUAGCGAGAUCUACAGUGGCGAUUCGAGAGAGGCAUUCGAGUGCUAAGCUUACCUCGAACUCGUUGGGGCUGGUGAGGUCCUUGCGGAGCUGGUUGGUGACGAGGACGAGGACGGAGGUGGAGGCGUCGAAGGAGUGGGAGGCGGCGUGGUAGGCGAUCUUCUUGUGGGAGAAGCGCGUGGAGGAGAGGAGCUCGACGACGUGGAAGGCGGCGAACGACAUGUCGUGGAAGUGGAGGGAGGAGAGGUAGGUGAGUUUGAGGAGGGCGGUGGAUUUGGUGUCCGGGUCGGUGGACUUGGCCUCGCGGCGGAUUUCGUCGAGGGAUUUGGAGAGGAAGGAGGAUUCGUUGAGGGAGUGGAGGCGGAGGCCCUUGAUUAGGUCCUCCAGUGUGCGCUGGAAGAGUGUGUCCAUGACAGAGAACCCCGCCAUUAUCGGAACCUGGGGAUUCGAUUGGGUUUCUAUGAGAGGAGGAUCAUGAGGUUGUGUUAAUGGGUUUGGAUGGAAGAUUUGGAUUGGGAAUUGGGAAUUGGGGAAUUGGGAUUGGGGAUUGCUGCUGGUGCUGUAGCAGUGUUUCGGGUUUACCCGCCCCAGUGGUUUUUUGGACUUUGUGGACUAUGAAACGGGCUGGAGCAAGCCCAAUAUUUGAGUUUUAUUUUGUCCGAACGUAGCGGCAAAAACCGUUUAUCUCUAUGUGAGUGAGAUUAUGAGUUUCAACCGUGCUAUAGUCUAUUAACAAAGGUGCAAAGAAGUUCAAUGUUAAAUUUAGUACAUUGAUUGUGAAUCAAAUGACAGACACUUCAGUUCCAAAGUGUGAAUAUGUAUUGUCUCAGAUACCAGAAAAUUAUCAAACCAGAAUAUACAAGUAAUUAAUAUUGUCUCAGAUACUAGAAAAUUAAAGCAAAACAUGUAAGAUUGAAAAAAGAUUAUUAUCAGGAGCUGACUCACAACAUCGGAGAUGGUUAACUAAUGAUCAAAGGGAUGGAAAAACUUAAUAGAUUAUUUCCAUCCAGCUUAAUGGAUUCAAGAUUCGUAGCAUCAACCCGGAAAGGCUUGUAGCAGAUAACUUCCAUAGAUUUGAGGCUAGAAAACUUGAAAGUACACCGCGGAAGAGAACACAUGAAUUCAACAAAUUCUCAAGCAAAGGACACCCCGAAAGUAAUUGCUUGAAUGUCAGAUGACUUUGCAAAUGCUUGAGGGACAUAGUUUUCAAAUAUGGAAGGCUUAUUUUGGCACCAGUGACGUCCCUCCCGAAAGAAAUUUUCUAGGGUACCUACCUGUUUAUGAUACCUUCAUUUACCGAUAUGAAAACAAAUUUAUUGUCGUUUUGAUAAAGAUAGUCAUUACUUGAGUAAUUUUUGUUCUAUUAGAGGUAAUUACUCAACUUAAGACAAUUUACAAGUUUAUGAACAACUUGUUGUCAUUGUAGUAACUUGGUUUAAUUAUAUGUAUAUGUGUAAAACAAAUGUAGUAAUUUUGUUGUUAAUGUUGUAAUUUUACUUAUUCAACUUGUCAUUUUUGUUCAAUUAGUGAUAAAAUGGGUGUAUGAUAUACAUCCCAAUAUCGUAGACAACCCCCCCCCCCUCCUUCCGGAGAUUCAUAUUCUCCAGCUUUAGAAUGGUUAGAGAUUUUGCACUGUUGAGAACCAUUGGCGAUAAGGAGAAGGUUCGUAUUUUCCCAACUUUGCUUUCUCUCGCAAAACUUAAGUCUAUCACUUUAAUGUUUCUCCCAGCAGCAAAACUCAAGCACUUCUGUAUGGUUCCACAACGUCCUUAGUAUUUCAUACGAAUCCCUAGCUAACUUCUCUAAGCCGUGCUUGUCUUUCUUCCAACGCUUCAAAUAGUCAUAAGACGACUAUGAACUGUUUCUGCCUAACCUUGCGAACCGUGCAUGGCUUGGAAUCUUGAUCGUGCCACUCCUCGUUAUGAACCAGCAGUACCGGAAAGCGAAAACCAUAUGCUUGCCCAUUGCUUGGAAACAAAGCUGGCCCGAGUGCCGAGCCUGUGGGAAAAGAGUGAGAAACAAGAGGAUUUUGUGGAUAACAAGGUAUUAGGCAAUUCGGGUACGUAUUUGUCGACCUCAACGACGAUGCUAGGGUUUUUGUUUUGUUCAUCGUCACUCUUUUUGUUUAUCUUUGAGUCAUGGUAGUUGUAGCCUAAAGUUUUUCUCUUCUUACCUAUCGUAGCCAUGCCUUUUACAACGGAGAAUAUGAACGAUGUCGAUAACGGAAUCGAAGAACAGUCGAGAAGAAAAAGAAUUCCUAAGUAACCAGAAACCCUAGCUAGCUUUGCUUUUAUACAUAACGUAUGCUACAAAACCUAAUUCGUAUAGGGCAUAUAUUUGUGUCUGUUUUAGAAAUCUAUGUAUUGUAUCUUAUGAGAUUCAUUGAGUAUUUAUGUAUUUUGAGUUCAAUAAAAGUCACUUUUAAUAAAAAAAAUGUUACGAGAAAUCUUGAAAUAAUAUUUGUAUCAAUUUGUUAUAUUAAUCAAGACGUGAGGCCCAUAACUAUUUGGUUUAGCGGUAUAGUCUUUUUUUAGCAAGUGGGAGGUUGUGAAUUCGACUUAAGGGCAGUCGCAAUGUCAUUAAUAAAAAAAAAAAAUGUUAGUUCAGACGUUUAGUUUUCAACUUGGAGGCAAUUAUAUAUAGUAUAUAAGAACAUCUCCAACAGAGAAAUAACGCUGCCUCUCUUUGUCCCAAACCCUAGAGAGAGAGACCCCGAGUUUCAAAUCUCAUGUCCGGCGGCGUGCCUUGCGUCGUCGUUGGACGAGACUUUUCGUCCAUCCUAUUGGGUCAGGUGUGUGGCUGGGUCCUUGACCCAUUCUGGUUUUGCGGCUUGAGUGAAAGAUGAGGUUUGACACGCUUGGAUACAACGGUAGAGGAGGAGGUUGUUGUACGCGUCGGGGUUUUACGGUAAGCCACGUGAGGCUUUGGUUUCCGAUCUGAUCAGAAGCGGCAGUUGAUGGUGGUUGACACCAAUGACGUUCAAUUUAGAUGGUUAUUGUAGGGAGCUUUCUUGCAAUAUUUGUUCUGGUUGUGCUGGUGGUGAAAACGAUGGCAAGAUCUCUGACCCCCGAGCACGGUAAAGAGGGUGAUUGAUGGUGGUGAACGUGUUGGGCCGCAUCUGGGCUUCCGUGGGCUGCACAAAGGGCUUGGUCCAAUGCUUUUUGGGCCCAGUCUUUAGGAUUUAAUAUAUAUAUUAGGUUUUUAAUAUGUCAUUGUCGAACUCGAGUCAAUAAGCUAGUUUGUUAGCAAAUUUUAAGUUAUGAUUAUCUUUGUUUUUGUGCUUCAUCACAUAGUGAUUGCAAUAAGUUGCUCUAAGAUAGCCUCAUGGCUUGAUUCUUAUAUGAUCCAUAUGGGGUAAGUUAUGUAUUUGUAAUUUCUUUAUUUACUGAAUACAAGGCCGUACGUCUUUCUUCUAAGAAAAAAAAACUUGGAGGCAAUUAUCAUCCUAUGCCUUUUAUGCUUGUAUUCUCACAAAACCAACAAAAAUUCAACAUGGAGAGAAUAUGUCUUUGAUGGGGGAGGGUGGUCCUGUUUAUACUGAAUAAAAUAGCAAAGAACAAUGAAUGAGUAUCAUUUUAAAAAAAAAUAGAAAAAAGAAUGAGUAUCAAAACAAUGUGUAAAGAAUUUGGGACCAAAAAUAAUCUGAAUAUUUACAACAUGAUGAGAAUUGCCGAAUGCCAACAAUGUGGUGUUCCAAAGACAAAAAUGAGUUGUCCUAAUGAGGGCAUGAGCAGGCACGUGCUUACUCAACCACAGCACAAUCGGCACGCGCGCAUUGUGUGCCCUUAAGUCCUUAACCUUAAUUAAGGUCAUCAUCUCAUUCUCUUUCUCAUCUACUACCCCCAACCAUUCUGAAAAUGACUCCGAUAAUUUUAACAUCACAAAUUUAAAACAAACUCAUAAAUUUUCAACAUACAAAUUAAGACUAUACUUGGUUGCAAAUUUUGUCUUUGCAACGUCUAUUUUGAAUAAUGGAUAGCAUGAGAUCAUCUGCUUCAACAUUUUCUUUUCUUUUAGGGUUUGGCGAAUGAAAGACUUGACAAAAAUGGUUGGCGAAUCAGACCAAACGACCAAGUAUUGGUGAGUAAUGAUGUUGGCAAGCUUAUUUUUAUGUACAAGUAAAAGAAACUAAUGACAAUAUGCCUUGUUAGUUUUGAAUAGCAAAUUAGAGUUGAUGAGCCACCAACUCUAGCACUACCCAUAUAUCUAUGAACUGUUAUUUAAGUUUGUGUUAGUAAUUGUUCAUUGCUUAAUUUACUAGAUUUUAGACUGUAAGAAGUUUGCGGAACACACAAAAUAAACUAGCUUUUUUAAGUUUGAGUAAUAAAUUGAGUUUAACAAAACGGAUAAGAAUUCAUGAGAAGAGUUUGAGAGCGGGAAAAAAUUCAAAUAUAAACGAACAAUAUUCUUGACAUCAAUAUGGUCACAAACUCUUAGCUCGACUAACGUAGAAAUUAUCAUAUUCUUAACUUGAUCCGUUAUUCUGUUUUGAGGAUGUAUUACAUUUUCGUACUUCCAUGCUCCAUUUUAUUUUCCGAAUAAAGGAGAAACUCAAAUGAUAUUCCUAAUAACAUGAUACACAUGACCCAUCUACAUUUACGAUCAAUCGAUUCAUAAAAUUUAAUUCUUUUUUGAGUUAUUGAAUGAUCUCACAUGUUUUACAACUGCAUUGCAAGUGACUUACACUUGCUUACCCACCGGCCUCACGUGACUGGCCGUUAUUGACGUCAGCAUCCACGUGGAACGUCUCGCCACGUAGCAGGAAACGGACAAAUAUAAAACUCCGUCUUCCAAGCUAGUCUUCUUCUUAUCGACCUCCAUCACUCUACGACCUUGUUCAUCUCCGUUGAACAAUCCGAGCUUUAUUAACAGCAAAAAGAAUCCCGAAAAUAUAAAUUAGUCCCCAAAAUACAAAAGUUAAACAUUUUUAAAGCUUAUUAGGAGGAGGGAGAGAAGAGAGAGAGAGAGAGAAAGUUCCCGGAGAGAUAGGGAGAAGAGAGAAGAGAGGAGAUGGCGACGCCGUUAACGGUGGACGGAGGCGGAGGGCUGGCGGUGCUGUCCGUCAACAAAGUCGAUUCCGCGACUAACGGAGGAGGAGGAAACUGCUUGACGAGCUCGGAGGAGGAGGAGGAGAGGUCGCCGAUUCUGAUAUUCUUGUUCUUCCACAAGGCAAUACGGAAGGAGCUGGAUGCGCUUCACCGACUGGCCAUGGCUUUCGCCACCGGGAAGGAGGCGGAUAUCAAGCCAUUGCUGGAGCGCUACCAUUUCUUGAGAUCGAUUUACAAGCACCACUCCAAUGCCGAAGACGAGGUUCUCAUUUUCUUUAUUUCUCUUUGUGGAUUCAUUUUCGUUUGAGAUUUAGAAAUUCUGUUGAGGCUUUUGAAAUGAAAUUGUUUCAGGAAUUAGUUUUGGUUUUCUUGAUUAGAACAAUCUGGUGCUGCUAUGCAUUCGGUUGCUUAAUCUUGAAUAUUAGUGAAGAUUUUUGUUGUGAUUGUGUAUCGGUAAAGAUUGCAGUUUAGAGGUGAGCCUGGAUAUUAUUGUGUUUCUCUUCAAGAUUGGAGUUCAAUUUUAGUGCUUGCGCUUCUGAAAGUUUCUUUCUUGUUUGAGUUACGUAUCAGCUGGGCAAUGUGAGGAUAUGAGGAUUUGUUUUAAUGCGGUGGUUUUGUUUUCUUUUGGCAUCUUCUCUACUAUUUAUAAUUUUUGGGCAAGUUUUGCGCCACGAAAACAUAAAGUUGGUAAUUUAAAGGCAGGAAACAAAACCUGUUUUUUUUGUCUCUAUUUUUUAGUAAUUAGUGUAGGUUUCGCUGGCAUAUGAUGAGCUUAUUAGCAACUGAAGUUUGCUUAUCAUGACUUCUCCUUGUCGUGUCCUGAAGUCGUGACAUUCGUUGUCCUUGGAAUUGCAGGUAAUCUUCCCGGCGCUUGAUAUACGAGUGAAGAAUGUAGCACAAACGUACUCGCUUGAACACAAGGGUGAAAGCAAUCUUUUUGAUCAUCUGUUUGAGCUGCUAAAUUCCAAUGCGCAAAGUGAUGAAAAUUUCCCAAGGGAGUUGGCAUCUUGUACAGGUGCCUUACAAACAUCAGUUAGCCAACACAUGGCAAAGGAGGAGGAACAGGUGCUGUAUCAUUUCCCUGUCUCUGCAUCCUGUAUCAUUCAUAUUACCAGUUCGGAAGUAUGUUACUUGUAAUUGCAAUUAUUAAUUUGACAUAUCAAAGAUGGAAAUUAAUACAAAAGCUGUGACUGGUAUUGUAUUUGGUAGAAGUUUUACGUUUAAAGUGUCUCUCUGGAGAUCUCUCAUCAUAUACUAGCCUUUGUAUUCAAAUGCCGGAUUAUUCAACCAACUCAUAACCCAAAAUUUUGCUCUUUUGGUCAGGUCUUACCGUUGCUGAUUGAGAAGUUUUCAGUUGAGGAGCAGGCGUCUCUAGUCUGGCAGUUUCUUUGCAGUAUUCCUGUGAAUAUGUUGGCCCAGUUUCUUCCGUGGCUUUCAUCAUCGGUUUCACCUGAUGAAUAUCAGGAUUUGCGGAAAUGCUUAAGCAAGAUUGUUCCAGAGGAAAAGCUUCUUCAACAAGUAAAUUCAAUUAAUGGAUUGAGUACUUUUUAUUACUGCUUUUUCUAGUGAUUAACUGACAAAUCUUUCAUAUUUAAGGUCAUUUUCACCUGGAUGGAAGGUAGAAGGACCAGUGACAUGGUUAAAAGUUGUCAUGAUUCUCCUCAGUUCCAGUGUUGCAUGGAAUCUGGUGCUAGCACAUCAAGUCUACAUACAGAGAAGAUAAAUUGUCCAUGUGAGUGUAGAACUGGGAAAAGAAAGUAUGUAGAGUCGAGUACUGAUGUUUCUGAUACCACUGGGGCUCAUCCAAUAGAUGAAAUACUGCUUUGGCAUAAUGCCAUUAAAAAAGAGUUAAAUGAGAUAGCUGAGGAGGCUAGGAAGAUACAACUGUCCGGAGAUUUUACUAAUCUAUCAGCUUUCAAUGAGAGGUUGCAAUUUGUUGCUGAAGUUUGCAUUUUUCACAGGUAUCCAUUCAUAUCUAUUGCGUUUCUGUGGAAUGCUAAUUAUUUUCUUUGAGUAACUUACCAUUUAGCAUCUGUUUUAUCUUUUAUCUCUUGUCUUCUUUAUGGAGAAAUGGGUGAGUAAUAUCAUAGAGUAUAAAUUCCUUUUGGUAACAUGAAUUCCAAAUUGUUUUCCAGUUCCCGAACAUGGCCUUAUAUGGAUCACUUACCAUCUUAUCUUCUAAUUCCAGAAAUGACACUCUGAUCCCCACGAAUUCCUUUCUAUUUGUGCUUGUCUGUAUCACUUUGCUGUGAGAGAACUUUUAACAAGAGUUAUGGUAGAGUACUAUAUUUCUUAUUUCCUUUAUUUUUUUGUUUGAAUGUUACUUAUUUGCUUAUUUCAGUAUUGCGGAGGACAAGGUCAUAUUUCCUGCAGUAGAUGGAAAGAUAUCCUUUUUCCAAGAGCACGCUGAAGAAGAAAGUCAGUUCAAUGAAUUCAGGUGUCUGAUUGAAAACAUUCAAAGUGCAGGAGCUGUCUCUACUUCAGCUGAUUUUUAUGCCGAGCUGUGCUCACAUGCCGAUCAAAUAAUAGAAACUAUACAGAAGCACUUCAGCAAUGAAGAAGUGCAGGUAUAAUUUCCUUAUUGCUGCACUAAUCCUUUAUGAACUUUCAGUAUAAAAAAUUUAAAAUGUAACAUUUUUCUAAAAUUAUUGGUUAGUAUUGAUGUAGGACAGCAAGAGAUCUUACUUUAGGCGCUUUUGGGAAGGCCUUUGAGGCUUGAUGGUUUUGGGUGAAACAGGCAGAAAGCUUGAUAAGAAACUAGCAUGUUGCUGUCAAGGAACAUGAAAGUUAGACUUGGUGGCAACCCAACUAGCCUAUUGAGAAUUCAGUUAGACCCCAAAUAGAAAUUGAUGUUAAUCCUUAUUUGUUUGUUUAUCUUUUUUAUCUGUUAAUUUCUUCCAUUAAUUUUGUGAGGGACUCCUAACUGGCUGUCUAGGAGUUGGUACAUAACCUCAUAUCCUACCUUAAAAUGAAACCGGUUCAGGAACUCUAUGGGCCUUAGAUUUUACAACUAGAAACUGUGUAACCAACUUCGUAUCUAGUUCCUGAAAGCUCCUUACCCAUUCCCUGCAUGUCUAGGUUCUUCCACUUGCUCGCAAGCACUUCAGCUUCAAAAGACAGCGGGAUUUAUUGUAUCAGAGUUUAUGCAUGAUGCCCUUGAAAUUGAUCGAGCGUGUUUUGCCAUGGCUAGUCAGAUCGUUGACUGAAGAUGAAAUGAAGAAUAUUCUCAAAAACAUGCAGUUAGCAGGUUCUGUAAUUAUUCUAUGUGUUCAACUUGUAGUCGAAAACUAUAAAUCAACAAAAUUUUCCAGUAUCUGUUCUGACAACAUGUUGUUUGAUGAUUCAGCUCCAGUGCCUGAUGCAGCUCUGGUAACACUUUUUUCUGGAUGGGCAUGCAAGGCUCGUAAUCAUGGUUCAUGCUUGUCUUCAAGUGCAAUUGGUUGUUGUCCUGUUAAAAGUUUUACUGAUAUUGAAGAAGAUUUUGUUCGACCCGUGUGCGCUUGUGCUUCUGGAUCAUCUGCUAGAGAGAGGCUGGUAUCAGCUCAAGUAAAUAAUGUGAAAAAGCUAGUCAAACGAAAUGUUUUAGUGCCAUGCAAAAACAAUGAUACCCUUGAUCAAUGUUGUACUGAUCAGUCUUGCCGUGUCCCUGGUUUAGGAGUAAAUAACGCUAAUCUUGGAUCAAGUUCUCUUUAUGUGGCUAAGUCUUUGCGGUCCUUUUCUUUCAGCUCUUCUGCCCCAUCUCUUCAUUCCAGUCUUUUUGCAUGGGAAACAGAUAGCUCUUCCUUUGAUAUUGGUUGUGGAGAACGGCCUAUUGAUACUAUUUUUAAGUUUCAUAAAGCCAUUCGCAAAGACUUGGAGUAUUUGGAUAUUGAAUCUGGAAAGCUUGUUAAUGGUGAUGAAGCCACACUUCGGCAGUUUAUUGGAAGAUUCCGUUUGCUCUGGGGCUUAUACAGAGCACACAGUAAUGCUGAGGAUGAUAUAGUGUUUCCUGCAUUGGAAUCCAAAGAGGCGCUUCAUAAUGUGAGCCAUUCAUACACACUGGACCAUAAACAGGAGGAAGAAUUAUUUGAAGACAUCUCUCAUGUUCUUUCUGAACUUUCUCACCUUCAUGAAAGCAUGGAAAAGACUCACAUGGAUGAGGAUUUAGCUGGAAGCAACAUGAGUGUUUCUGUCACAAAUAGUGUCAACUAUACUAGAAAAUACAAUGAGCUGGCUACUAAGCUUCAAGGGAUGUGCAAAUCUAUAAAAGUGACACUAGAUCAUCACAUUUUCAGGGAAGAACUUGAGUUGUGGCCACUAUUUGGAAAACACUUCACUAUUGAGGAGCAAGACAAAAUAGUCGGCCGGAUUAUUGGGACCACGGGUGCUGAGGUGCUCCAAUCUAUGUUACCCUGGGUAACUUCUGCACUUACCCAGGAUGAACAGAAUAAAAUGAUGGACACAUGGAAGCAAGCAACUAAGAAUACUAUGUUCAAUGAGUGGCUUAAUGAAUGCUGGAAAGGAACUUCAGAAUCAACUUCACAAAAUGAAACAAGGGAAAGUAGCAUUUCUCAAAAAGGUCAGUAACAUCGUAUUAUGACGAAAUUUGUUUAUUGCAACAGUCGCUCAAUUUACUGAAUUUUCAUGUAGGUGUUGAAUUUCAAGAAACCUUGGACCAGACAGACCAGAUGUUCAAGCCUGGUUGGAAGGACAUAUUCCGUAUGAAUCAAAAUGAACUAGAGUCAGAGAUCAGAAAGGUCUAUCGUGAUGAGACUCUUGAUCCAAGGAGAAAGGCAUAUCUUGUGCAGAAUCUUAUGACUAGGUUAAUUUCUGAAACUAACUAAAACUUUGAGAUUGGUACUUUAUCUGUCAUUAUGACAUAUAUAAUGAGAUCAUGACUUCUAAAAUUGCCUAACUCUAUCAUCACCAUUUGAUGAACUGUUAAUGAGUACUGUUUUUGUUUUAGCCGCUGGAUAGCUGCUCAGCAGAAGUUACCUCAAGCAACAGGUGGAGAAUCUUCUGAUGGUGAAGAUGUAUUUGGACGCUCACCUUCAUACCGAGAUGUGGAGAAAAAAGUAUUUGGGUGUGAGCAUUACAAAAGAAACUGUAAACUUCGAGCUGCUUGUUGUGGCAAGUUAUUUGCAUGUAGAUUUUGCCAUGAUAAUGUGAGUGACCAUUCAAUGGAUAGGUAAGCUUCCACUUGCAUUUCAAUUCGGGUUAUCAUAUAUCUGAUGUUCUUAGUGUUUCCCUUUUCUUUUUCCUUUCUGUUAAGAUUUCUUAUUAGUGUUUUUUUAAUAGGAAAGCAACUUCGGAAAUGAUGUGCAUGCGCUGCCUGAACAUUCAGCCAGUUGGGCCCAUAUGUACUACACCUUCAUGCAAUGAACUAUCUAUGGCAAAAUAUUACUGCAAUAUCUGCAAAUUUUUCGAUGAUGAAAGGUACAAAAAAUUCUUACUUUUAGUGUUAUGUUAUUUUUUCAAUUUAAUGCCCAUAAUUAGUAUGUGUGUUUGUUUUUUUAAUAUAUAUUUUUUAUGAUGAAAGGCAUUUGGUAGUUUUCUUUUUCUUUUUUCACAUUCUAGUUAUAAUUUCACUAUCCAUGUGUGACUUAAACUCCAUAAAUCCACUUUGACUCUGCUGCUACAGAAAACUCUUGAAAAACUUGAAGCUUGAAAUUGUUGAAGCAUAUUCUGUUGGUUUGAAUUCUUAGUCACUGCAAUUUACUGAACCUCUAAUGUUAUCUAGAAUGAUGAAAAUAUUUGACUUGGUUAAUUUGAUCCAUGUUAGUGGGACUCAGAUUUUGUAAUUGCCUCUUACUACAAAUAGAAAUUCAGUGAUCAAAUGACUGUGAGGAAUGUCUUUCCCUGUAUUUUUCAUGUAUUAACUGUCAUGAUCCAAUGAUGGAAAGGGUGAUGUACUCCCUAUUGUCUGUUUCACCGGUAAAUGGGGAAUAUUUCUUUAGGUCAUAUUCUACCAAGCUUUCUGAUGCCAUGUCAGAAGCUGACUCGAUGGAAAGAAGGCAUAUAUUCAUUUGAUGGACUAUAGAUGUUGCAAAAUAGUAAAUGAUGGUUUUUGACAUGAGACAGGAUAGAUUAUAUAGAUAGGUAGGUAAAGCUUAAUUUGCAUUCACACAAGUUACCCCCAUUCUUGGCAAGAAGUUUGCCUAAUAUUCAAUUGGGGUUAACUGUCUUGUUGUAAGUUGCUAACUCAGCACACACUACUGAUGCCUAUAGACAGCUUUUGACUUAUGGCUAAUAUUUGUCUUCCAGGACUGUAUAUCAUUGCCCGUUUUGUAAUUUAUGCCGCCUUGGGAAGGGUCUUGGCAACGACUUUUUUCAUUGCAUGACAUGCAAUUGUUGCCUGGGGAUAAAGUUGGUCAACCACAAAUGCCUGGAGAAGAGUUUAGAAACAAAUUGUCCUAUCUGCUGUGAUUUCUUAUUCACAUCAAGUGCAACAGUUAGGGCUCUGCCAUGUGGCCACUACAUGCAUUCAGCUUGCUUUCAGGUCUCUUCUUGAACUGUCUCAACAUUUUCUUCUUUUACCCAAUCUUUCUCCUGAAUUUUUUUUUUCCUGAAAGAGUAUGGCUGAACUCUUCUCAUUUUUUGUUAGGCCUACACUUGCAGUCACUAUACUUGUCCAAUUUGUAGCAAGUCCCUGGGAGAUAUGGCGGUAAGAGGAUAUCUCUGUUUUUUCUUUUUUCUUUUUGUUCAUAAUAUUAUUCUGUACAUAGUUUUUCUGAAUUGUUAUACCCUAUUAGGUUUACUUUGGCAUGCUUGAUGCGUUAUUGGCUGCGGAGCAGCUUCCAGAGGAAUACCGGAACCGUUGUCAGGUACCAUCCAUAUUCUAAUAUAAUGGUUGUUAAUGCUUUCCUAUAUCACUUUUACGUAAACCUUUGGUGAUCUAAUUUUUAUGUGAUUGGAGGAUGCUGUAGUAUUGAUAUAGUUAUUUGUCAUUUCCCUAAACAUAGCAUGCUUUAGCACCUGAUAUGUGCACAUCAAUUUUGUCCAAAAUAGAGCACUGUUAUAAUUAUCAAUGUAUCAUAACAAUAAAUGUGUUUUCCAAUUUAGGACAUCCUUUGUAAUGAUUGUGAUGGAAAGGGUACCUCACGUUUUCACUGGCUGUAUCACAAGUGCGGUAACUGUGGAUCAUACAAUACCCGGGUGAUCAAGGGUGAGGCAUCAAAUACCGACUGUCCUAUGUCACACUAACAAACAUGUUUUCUUUCUUUGGCAGAUCUAUACGUAUUAGUUUGUAGAUACUUGUAUAGGCCAUUCAAUUUUCCUACAACCUAGAAAACUGGUUUUUUCUUCUUUUUUAAAAUCGGAUGAGGGUUUGUAACCCCGUAUACAUCAAUUUUGUAGAAACCUGGUAAAUAUCAUCUUUCCUUGGUUUCAUGAUUCAUUUACAAGCAUUAUAGACAGGGGAUGUAACAGAACAUAUUCAAAUACACGCUGUACAGAAAUUCAAACCUUUUUCAGACUCUGUAAAUCUCAGCUUCUCUCAUUCCACCUUUUCGUUUUAUUUUCAUUACCAUUGCUACGCUGUCAAUUCCAUAUUCUCUUCAAAGGUGGGUUUUGCUUUAUAUUUACUUAAUGCUUUCAUUCACCAAAGAAAAAGUGAGCUGGAAAUGUUCUGAUAGACUUGACCGGUCUGUCAUCAUGGCAAUGCACUAUAUAGCCCCUUGGCUUGGAGAAAGUCAUGCACGCCAAUGAAAUUGCAGACUCGUCAGACAUGAAAUCUUGCCCAUUAACAUGGUAUUGUACUUGCGUACGAGUCAAGUUAUCAUUUCUGAGACCCAUCAUUUCUAAUGAGAUAAUGGGGGCCUUGAUGAUCAUGUUUUCGAAGUGAUGAACUUCAUAUGUUAAACCAGGUCAUGGCUCGUGACAUCAAUUUUUCUCCAGUGAAGGAAAAAGGAGGAGGAAAAUUAAAACAUUGGGAAUGUGAGUUGGUCGAUUUGUUUGAUGAAACGUUGGAAAUGUGACUUGUUGGGUUAGUUCAAUGAAUGAGACCAUACGGCAAGUAGUGACUGCUCUAGAGUCUAGGUAAUGCAGCUGGUAGCUUUUCUGGGAGCAAGAAAUUACUGUCAUAUCAUGGUAAAUUUUUGGGGUACGUCUUUACCCUUGGCUCCAAAGCAACACUUCAAAUCAGGGUAGUGCUGAUCCAUCACCACCAGACACAACUCACCAUCAGAGUCCUUAUCAAG